rnacentral:siRNA from 1 species
UAUAGUUAGCUUUUCAGUGAG